rnacentral:piRNA from 1 species
UUGCCAUGUUCUAGUUUCCCGGUGCUCC